rnacentral:rRNA from 1 species
AGAGUUUGAUCAUGGCUCAGGAUAAACGCUGGCGGCGCACAUAAGACAUGCAAGUCGAACGAACUUAACUCAUUCUUUUAGUUUGAGAGCGGUUAGUGGCGGACUGGUGAGCAACACGUAAGCAACCUGCCUAUUAGAGGGGAAUAACAGUGAGAAAUCAUUGCUAAUACCGCAUAUGCUAACAGUAUCGCAUGAUACGGUUAGGAAAGGAGUAAUCCGCUAAUAGAUGGGCUUGCGCCUGAUUAGCUAGUUGGUGGGGCAAUGGCCUACCAAGGCGACGAUCAGUAGCCGGACUGAGAGGUUGAACGGCCACAUUGGGACUGAGAUACGGCCCAGACUCCUACAGGAGGCAGCAGUCGGGAAUAUUGCGCAAUGGAGGAAACUCUGACGCAGUGACGCCGCGUAUAGGAAGAAGGUUUUCGGAUUGUAAACUAUUGUCGUUAGGGAAGAUACAAGACAGUACCUAAGGAGGAAGCCCCGGCUAACUAUGUGCCAGCAGCCGCGGUAAUACAUAGGGGGCAAGCGUUAUCCGGAAUUAUUGGGUGUAAAGGGUGCGUAGACGGAGGAGCAAGUUGGUUGUGAAAUCCCUCGGCUUAACUGAGGAACUGCAACCAAAACUACUUCCCUUGAGUGUCGGAGAGGAAAGUGGAAUUCCUAGUGUAGCGGUGAAAUGCGUAGAUAUUAGGAGGAACACCAGUGGCGAAGCGACUUUCUGGACGAUAACUGACGUUGAGGCACGAAAGUGUGGGGAGCAAACAGGAUUAGAUACCCUGGUAGUCCACACCGUAAACGAUGGAUAC